CCAUUGUCAAGAGGGAAACAGCCCAGAGCACCAGUUAAGGCCCUUAAAUAAUUGCUAAGUGGUAAAGGAGGUGGGAGUGCAUAAACAAUCAGGAGGUUUGCUUAGAAGCAGCAAUCCUUUAAAGAGUGCGUAAUAGCUCACUGAUCGAGUAAACCUGCGCCGAAAAUGUAUGGGACUAAGUAAUUUGCCGAAACUGUGCGAUAUAUAUUUAUAUAUCGGUAGGGGAGCGUUCUGUUGUAGGUCGAAGUAUUAGCGUAAGCGGAUAUGGACGAAGCAGAAGUGAGAAUGUCGGCUUGAGUAACGAAAAUAUAGGUGAGAAUCCUAUACCCCGAAAACCCAAGGUUUCCUCCGGAAGGCUCGUCCGCGGAGGGUAAGUCAGGACCUAAGGCGAGGCUGAAAAGCGUAGUCGAUGGACAACGGGUUAAUAUUCCCGUACCGUUUUUUAUUGAUAUCGAGGGACGGAGAAGGCUAAGCUAGCCGGAUAUUGGUUUUACCGGUUUAAGCGUUCAAGAUGUUGAGAAGCGGCGAAAACGCUUUGAGUUGAGACGUGAGUACGAGACGCUAAGGCGUCGAAGUAGUGGAUGUCAUACUUCCAAGAAAAGCUUGCACUGUCAUAAAUAAAAAACGCCUGUACCAUAACCGACACAGGUGGGUAGGUAGAGUAUACUAAGGGGCGCGAGAUAACUCUCUCUAAGGAACUCGGCAAAAUGACUCCGUAACUUCGGGAGAAGGAGUGCCUUAUUCGUAAGGCUGCAAUAACAAGAUCCAAGCAACUGUUUAUCAAAAACACAGGUCUCCGCUAAGUCGUAAGACGAUGUAUGGGGGCUGACGCCUGCCCAGUGCCAGAAGGUUAAAGAAGUUGGUUAGCAUUUGCGAAGCUAGUGACUGAAGCCCUGGUGAACGGCGGCCGUAACUAUAACGGUCCUAAGGUAGCGAAAUUCCUUGUCGGGUAAGUUCCGACCCGCACGAAAGGCGUAAUGAUUUGGAUACUGUCUCGGAGAGGGGCUCGGUGAAAUAGACUUGUCUGUGAAGAUGCGGACUACCUGCACCAGGACAGAAAGACCCUAUGAAGCUUUACUGUAACUUGAAAUUGAAAUUGGACUUUAUUCGCGCAGUAUAGGUGGGAGGCGUUGAUUAUAAUCUUGCGGGAUUAUUGGAGCCAUCAGUGAGAUACCACUCUUAUAAUGUUAGAUUUCUAACUUUGAAUCAUUAUCUGGUCAAAGGACAGUUUCAGGCGGGCAGUUUGACUGGGGCGGUCGCCUCCCAAACGGUAACGGAGGCGUACAAAGGUUUCCUCUGAACGGUUAGAAAUCGUAUCUAGAGUGUAAAGGCAUAAGGAAGCUUGACUGUGAGACCUACAAGUCGAGCAGGGACGAAAGUCGGUCUUAGUGAUCUGACGGUACUGAGUGGAAAGGCCGUCACUCAACGGAUAAAAGUUACUCUAGGGAUAACAGGCUGAUCUCCCCCAAGAGUUCACAUCGACGGGGAGGUUUGGCACCUCGAUGUCGGCUCAUCGCAUCCUGGGGCGGUAGUACGUCCCAAGGGUUGGGCUGUUCGCCCAUGAAAGCGGUACGCGAGCUGGGUUCAGAACGUCGUGAGACAGUUCGGUCCAUAUCCGGUGU
rnacentral:rRNA from 1 species